rnacentral:rRNA from 1 species
CGAAGGAGGCAACUCUGAUCCAGCCAUGCCGCGUGCAGGAAGACUGCCCUAUGGGUUGUAAACUGCUUUUAUAUAGGAAGAAACAGUUCUACGUGUAGAACCUUGACGGUACUAUAUGAAUAAGCACCGGCUAACUCCGUGCCAGCAGCCGCGGUAAUACGGAGGGUGCAAGCGUUAUCCGGAAUCAUUGGGUUUAAAGGGUCCGCAGGCGGUUGAUUAAGUCAGAGGUGAAAUCCCAUAGCUCAACUAUGGAACUGCCUUUGAUACUGGUUGACUUGAGUUAUACGGAAGUAGAUAGAAUGUGUAGUGUAGCGGUGAAAUGCAUAGAUAUUACACAGAAUACCGAUUGCGAAGGCAGA